AUCCUUGGAAUUACCCUAGCGACAGGAUUAUUUUUGUUAUCACAAUAGGCCCUGAAAUUUUAUGCUAAUGAGGUGACUCAUAGUGGGCCCCUAUAUAGUUUAUGCCAACAAGACAACUCAGGAUGGGGGAUGACCAUGCCAGGAAAACCAACCAUGUGAUUAGAGAGCUGCGGCUUUCAGCCAUCUGAUAUCAACUCAACCUUUAGGGAGAGGAAGAGAACAAGAGAUUAAGAACCAUGGGCAAUCAUUCAAUUGAUCAGGAGAGUAAAGCAUCCUAACUCCAUGAAGACAAGGCGAAAGAAGCGUCACCUUCAGCAUCCUUCUAGACCUCGCCCUCUAAGUUUCUCCUUUUGGCUGGUUCCGAUUUAUAUCCUUCGGCCAUAAUAAUUCUGUCAUCAAAUGAAGACAUAAGAUAAUAAAAGGAUUUGACUUUCCAGUAUCCCUUUCGAACUGGGCACCACUCAGAAGGAAGAUGCCGUUAACUACUCCCUUUAGAAAUUAUCUCAAGUUUCAAAAGCUUACAAGUGCACAAAAAUGUUUCCUGCCGCCUCCACCAAGAUGGAACAGGGACAAGAAGAACUGAUCUGCGUCAUCCUCUAGAUUCUGUGUGCACUUCCUGAUCCAUGCCUCCAAAUAACAAGGGUUACAAGGAUGCAGCAAUGAAUAUAGGCAAAAUCAUUUCUAUAGCUAAUUCAAAAUACCAGUAACCCUAGUCUAGCAAAGGAAGUGAGAAUGCCCCAACCACUCUAAUCAGGGCCAUGGACAGUUCUCCCAGAAGCAAUGAGGGCCUCCUCCUGAGUCAAGAAGAUACUAUCUUCCCUCUGAAUCCACAAAAUGA